GAUGAACGCUGGCGGCAUGCCUAAUACAUGCAAGUCGAACGAGAGGAAGGAAAGCUUGCUUUCCUGAAUCUAGUGGCGAACGGGUGAGUAACACGUAGGUAACCUGCCCAUGUGCCCGGGAUAACUUCUGGAAACGGAUGCUAAAACCGGAUAGGUAGCAGACAAGCAUUUGACUGCUAUUAAAGUGGCCUUGGCCAUGAACAUGGAUGGACCUGCGGUGCAUUAGCUAGUUGGUGAGGUAACGGCCCACCAAGGCGACGAUGCAUAGCCGGCCUGGGAGGGCGGACGGCCACAUUGGGACUGAGACACGGCCCAAACUCCUACGGGAGGCAGCAGUAGGGAAUUGUCGUCAAUGGGGGGAACCCUGAACGAGCAAUGCCGCGUGAGUGAGGAAGGUCUUCGGAUCGUAAAGCUCUGUUGUAAGAGAAAAACGGCACUCAUAGGGAAUGAUGAGUGAGUGAUGGUAUCUUACCAGAAAGUCACGGCUAACUACGUGCCAGCAGCCGCCGCAGUAA
rnacentral:rRNA from 1 species